CACGUAGGGCGCAAGCGUUGUCCGGAAUUAUUGGGCGUAAAGAGCUCGUAGGCGGUCUGUUGCGUCCGCUGUGAAAACUCGGGGCUUAACCCCGAGCCUGCAGUGGAUACGGGCAGACUAGAGGUAGGUAGGGGAGAAUGGAAUUCCCGGUGUAGCGGUGAAAUGCGUAGAGAUCGGGAGGAACACCAGUGGCGAAGGCGGCCUUCUGGACCAGCACUGACACUCAAGCACGAAAGCGUGGGGAGCAAACAGG
rnacentral:rRNA from 1 species